rnacentral:rRNA from 1 species
GACAGAGGGUGCAAGCGUUGUUCGGAAUUACUGGGCGUAAAGCGCGCGUAGGCGGCUUUUUAAGUCAAGUGUGAAAUCCCACGGCCUAACCGUGGAAGUGCACUCGAAACUGGAAAGCUUGAGUCCUGGAGAGGGUGGUGGAAUUCCCAGUGUAGAGGUGAAAUUCGUAGAUAUUGGGAGGAACACCGGUGGCGAAGGCGACCACCUGGACAGAGACUGACGCUGAGGUGCGAAAGCGUGGGGAG